GCCUUGCCAGCCCGCUCAGAAACUUAAAGGAAGUUCGACGGGGGCCCGCGACAAGCGGAGGAGCAUGUGGUUUAAUUCGAUGAUACGCGAGGAACCUUACCUGGGCUCGAACGUAAGAUGACUGUAGGUGAAAGCUUACAUCUCUUCGGAGCAUUUUACGAGGUGCUGCAUGGUUGUCGUCAGCUCGUGCCGUGAGGUGUCGGGUUAAGUCCCAUAACGAGCGCAACCCCUACCUUUAGUUGCCAUCAGGUUAAGCUGGGGACUCUAAAGGAACUGCCUACGCAAGUAGUGAGGAAGGCGGGGAUGACGUCAAAUCAGCACGGCCCUUACGUCCAGGGCUACACACGUGCUACAAUGGCCGAUACAGAGGGCAGCUACCUGGUGACAGGAUGCAAAUCUCCAAAGUCGGUCUCAGUUCGGAUCGGAGUCUGCAACCCGACUCCGUGAAGUUGGAUUCGCUAGUAAUCGCGCAUCAGCCAUGGCGCGGUGAAUACGUUCCCGGGCCUU
rnacentral:rRNA from 1 species